rnacentral:lncRNA from 1 species
AAAAACUAUGCCACAAAAAAGAAUAAAGAAGUAAUGUUUUGGAUGCCUCAAAAGAUUGUAAGGUGUAGAUGAUAUAACACCAAAAUUGGCAUACCACAUCUAACUUAGAAAUGUCAAAUCUAAAAUCCAAUAGCGAAGUUAUCAAAUGGUUGGAUCCUUUUUUAGGAAUCUGCUUCGUCUAAUCUUUGUUGGUGCAGUAUCUCACACAAUCGCAUAUAGUCAGUUUAGCACUCCGUUUUAUACAGUUGUGCAUUUUCAUUAUAUCAUUUUUUUUUUAAUGUUGGAUCACUGCACAGAAUUAACUUGCUAGGUUUAACCAUCUCAGUUUAUUUAUUACGUAUAUAUCUUAGUACUGAAUCUGAUUCUUACCUACUAUUACUGCCAAAUAGACCGUAAGACGCUCUUAAGUUCACUCUAAAAACACUACUA